rnacentral:lncRNA from 1 species
CUGUGUAGGACGUGCAGGUCUGUUACAUUACGUAAGCGUGUGCCUGGGUACCUGUGCAGGACGUGCAGGUCUGUUACAUUACGUAAACGUGCGCCUGGGUACCUGUGCAGGACGUGCAGGUCUGUUACAUUAAGUAAACGUGCGCCUGGGUACCUGUGCAGGACGUGCAGGUCUGCUACAUUACGUAAACAUGUGCCUGGGUACCUGUGCAGGACGUGCAGGUCUGCUACAUUAAGUAAACGUGCACCUGGGUACCUGUGCAGGACGUGCAGGUCUGUUACACUAAGUAAACGUGCGCCUGGGUACCUGUGCAGGACGUGCAGGUCUCUUACAUUACGUAAACGUGCGCUUGGGUACCUGUGCAGGACGUGCAGGUCUGUUACACUAAGUAAACGUGCGCCUGGGUACCUGUGCAGGACGUGCAGGUCUCUUACAUUACGUAAGCGUGCGCCUGGGUACCUGUGCAGGACGUGCAGGUCUGUUACAUUACGUAAGCGUGUGCCUGGGUACCUGUGCAGGACGUGCAGGUCUCUUACAUUACGUAAACGUGCGCUUGGGUACCUGUGCAGGACGUGCAGGUCUGUUACAUUACGUAAGCGUGUGCCUGGGUACCUGUGCAGGACGUGCAGGUCUCUUACAUUACGUAAACGUGCACCUGGGUACCUGUGCAGGACGUGCAGGUCUGUUACACUAAGUAAACGUGCGCCUGGGUACCUGUGCAGGACGUGCAGGUCUCUUACAUUACGUAAGCGUGCGCCUGGGUACCUGUGCAGGACGUGCAGGUCUCUUACAUUACGUAAACGUGCGCUUGGGUACCUGUGCAGGACCUGCAGGUCUCUUACAUUACGUAAGCGUGCACCUGGGUACCUGUGCAGGACCUGCAGGUCUCUUACAUUACGUAAGCGUGCGCCUGGGUACCUGUGCAGGACGUGCAGGUCUGGUACAUUACGUAAGCGUGCGCCUGGGUACCUGUGCUGGACGUGCAGGUCUGUUACAUUACGUAAGCGUGCGCCUGGGUACCUGUGCAGGACGUGCAGGUCUGUUACAUUACGUAAACGUGCGCCUGGGUACCUGUGCAGGACGUGCAGGUCUGCUACAUUACGUAAACGUGCACCUGGAUAA